rnacentral:lncRNA from 12 species
AUGAAACACCGGUGGCGGUGGCACAAACCACUCAAGUCCCCCGCACGGGGAAUGGAGGCGGGCGCGAGGGAACGGCUUGCUGGUCGACCCGCGGAGGGGCGGAGACACGGGCGCGCCGUGUGGCUGGCGGAAGCGGGCGGGGCGGGGGGCGAGCCCCCUCCCGGCGGCCGCGUGGACCGGGCACGUGGCGUGGCGACCCCCCCCGCACACCCCACGGGGUGGCGGGGACCGAGGCGGCGGAGUCUGGAGGAGGGGACUGACCCUCCCCACGGGCCCGACCGCCCCGACCCGAGGCGGACGGGCGACCCCCAAAGGGUCUUUAAACCUCCGCGCCGGGACGCGCUAGGUACCUGGACAGAGGGUGGGGGGGGACGGGCGAGGCGGGGCGCGGGGGAGCGAGGCCAAAGGCCGCCGCCGCCGCCGCCCCGACGCCGAUCCUCCCCCCGGCCGGCCGCGGCCGACACCGCCAAGCGAGGGGCGCGAGCCCCCCGACGCUGCCGGCCCGUGACGGACCAGGGCCCGGCGGGCGCCGCGACGCGGGCCCCGCCACCGCCCGACAGCCAGCCUCCCUCUCUCUCCCCGGUCUCUCCCCCGCCCCCAAAAGCCACCGGGGGCGGGGCCGGCCGGAUCCCCUCGCUUCCGAGGAACACCCCCGGGAGCCACCACCUCGCCUCGCCUUAGGAGAAAACACCCGGCCGGCCGACCCCCGGCCCUCCCCACAACCGCGACCCGGGCCCCGCCUCGCCACGGAGGGCGGGGGGGGGCCCGCAGCGGGAAGCGGGGCGUGAGCGGGCAGGGCCAGGGGAGGGGGGCGGCGGGGGCGGCGACGGAGAAGGGGAGAGCCGGACCCGGGCCCCGAGGCCCCAGAGGCGGGGGGUGGGCCGGGGUGGGAGAGGGAGAGGCGACGAGCGGGAGGGCGGAGAUGGCGCGGACGCCCGCCUGACCGGAGGACCGUCCAGGGCGGGCGGCGGGAGGCGCGCGCCGGGCGGCGGGCGCCCCCGCGCGGGCCGACGCUCCCCCCCCCCCGCAGGAGGAGGAGGACGACGACGACACCGCGGAGGGCACCGCCGCCGCGUCGCACGCGUCCCGAGACGCGCCGAGGGCACCCCCGUGCGGGGCGACGCGGCGACCGGGGAACGACCGGCGCCGGAAGGCGAAAGGCGGGCCGCGGAAGGGAGGGGGGCCCCGGAGGGGCAGGGGGACGAGCCGCCGCCGCCGCCGCCGAGGGGGCGGCGAGUGGACGACCCGGCGGCAGCCCCAGGCGAGCGGGCAAGACGGAGGAGGCGGACCCCCCCCGGAAGGGACACGGUGGGGGGGGGCCGGGACGGCGACGUCCGAGAAAGGGAGGCGGGCGCGGGGCCCGUCUCCCCCCCCACGACACGCCGUCGUCGCCGACGACACCCCCUCCCUUCCCCUCCGGGCGGGCGCCCGACCGACCGACGCCAGGCCCGCCCACCGCCACCGCCGCGCUUCCACCGCGCCUCCCGGCGGCGGGCGCGGCCCCUUCCUUCCCCCUGCCUCCUCCUCACGCGGCCCCGUCCUCGCCCCGCGGACGGACACGCACACACGCGCUCCCUCCUCUCUCACGUCCCUCGCGGCCAGCGGGCCGGCACCGCGCCGGCCCGCCCGCACCGCACGGGGGAAGGCUUCGCGGGCGAGCGGACGGACGGGAAGGACGGGG